GUCUCUAUGGCUCAGUCGGUAGAGCGUUGGUCUCAUAUCACUCUCAAUAUGACCCUGCCAUGAGGUCGGGACAUCCAAAGGUCGCAAGUUCGAGCCUUGCUAGGGACA
rnacentral:tRNA from 1 species